CAGUUUUGGUACCUGCGCUCCGUGAAAGCCAGUUACCUUCGGAAGAAAGAGUUGGUAGCUCUGAAUUCCGGCAAACGAACCACCGUUGGUAGCGGUGGUUUUUUUGU
rfam:Bacteroidales bacterium Barb4 Barb4_contig_635, whole genome shotgun sequence.